AUUGAACGCUGGCGGCAUGCUUUACACAUGCAAGUCGAACGGCAGCGCGGGCUUCGGCCUGGCGGCGAGUGGCGAACGGGUGAGUAAUACAUCGGAACGUGCCCAGUAGUGGGGGAUAGCUCGGCGACAGCCGGCUUAAUACCGCAUACGACCUGAGGGUGAAAGCGGGGGAUCUUCGGACCUCGCGCUAUUGGAGCGGCCGAUGGCAGAUUAGCUAGUUGGUGGGGUAAAGGCCUACCAAGGCGACGAUCUGUAGCUGGUCUGAGAGGACGACCAGCCACACUGGGACUGAGACACGGCCCAGACUCCUACGGGAGGCAGCAGUGGGGAAUUUUGGACAAUGGGCGAAAGCCUGAUCCAGCAAUGCCGCGUGUGUGAUGAAGGCCUUCGGGUUGUAAAGCACUUUUGGCGGGAACGAAAAGGACUGUGCCAAUACCACGGUUCGAUGACGGUACCCGCAGAAUAAGCACCGGCUAACUACGUG
rnacentral:rRNA from 1 species